rnacentral:rRNA from 1 species
AGACUCUGUGCGCGUGCAUAUCAAUAAGCGGAGGAAAAGAAACUAACAAGGAUUCCCCUAGUAACGGCGAGUGAGGCGGGAAGAGCUCAAAUUUGAAAUCUUAAAGGGUUUCCCUUUACGAAUUGUAGUUUAAAGAAGUGUUUUCUGUUGGAGUUUCGGUAAAAGUUCUUUGAAAUAGGACAUCAUAGAGGGUGAGAAUCCCGUAUUUGACCGUUACUUUCCAGCUUUGUGAUACACUUUCAAAGAGUCGGAUUGUUUGGGAAUGCAGUCCAAGAUGGGUGGUAAAUUUCAUCUAAAGCUAAAUAUUGGCGAGAGACCGAUAGCGAACAAGUACCGUGAGGGAAAGAUGAAAAGAACUUUGAAAAGAGAGUUAAACAGUACGUGAAAUUGUCAAAAGGGAAGCGUUCGACACCAGUGUUGUUUAGUUGAAAAUCAAUUAAAUAAUUUGUGAUUUUGAGUAGUAUUGACUUUAUCAGCUUGCUGCUUUCUUUUUCAUAAAUUAUUUAAUGCACUUUUCAGUUAACAAGUCAACAUCAAUUUCUUUUGUUGUAAAAGGGUAAGAGGAAGGUGGCUUGCGCUUCGGCUCAAGUGUUUAUAGCCUUUUACCUCUGCAAUCGGAGAGAUUGAGGACUGCAGCGUAGACUCCUUUUGGGGUUAGAUACGUUUGUGCUAAGUUAUAGCCUUGUAUAGACAACUUGUUGACUAUGUUUAGUCUUGUAGCUUACUCGCUUAUGCUAUUUUACCUACGCUUAGGAUGUUGACAGCAGUAUAGACUGU